UACGUAGGGUGCGAGCGUUGUCCGGAAUUACUGGGCGUAAAGGGCCAGUAGGCGGCCAACUAAGUCGGAUGUGAAAUCCCCAGGCUUAACCUGGGAACUGCAUCCGAUACUGGAUGGCUUGAAUUCGGGAGAGGGAUGCAGAAUUCCAGGUGUAGCGGUGAAAUGCGUAGAUAUACUGGAGGAAUACCGGUGGCGAAGGCGGCAUCCUGGACCGACAUUGACGCUGAACGGCGAAAGCUAGGGGAGCAAACGGG
rnacentral:rRNA from 1 species